AUCUAUGAUCAAAUUACGAGGAAACACGACUGACCUCGUCGGAUCUCGGAAGCCAAGCGGGUGCGAGCCUGGAUAGCGCUUGGAUGGGUGACCACCAUGCACGGACAGGUUGUCACAGGUG
rnacentral:rRNA from 1 species